rnacentral:rRNA from 1 species
GUCUACGGCCACGCCACCCCGAACGAGUUGAUCCCGUCUGAUCUCGCAAGCUGAGCAGGUUCGGGCCUGCUUAGUACUUGGAUGGGAGACCACCUAGGAAGACCAGGUGCUGUAGGCA